rnacentral:rRNA from 1 species
CAGUCGCCACGGGAAUACGAAGGGUGCAAGCGUUACUCGGAAUUACUGGGCGUAAAGCGUGCGUAGGUGGUGGUUUAAGUCCGUUGUGAAAGCCCUGGGCUCAACCUGGGAAUUGCAGUGGAUACUGGGUCACUAGAGUGUGGUAGAGGAUAGUGGAAUUUCCGGUAUAGCAGUGAAAUGCGUAGAGAUCGGAAGGAACAUCUAUGGCGAAGGCAGCCCCCUGGGCCAACACUGACGCUCAUGCACGAAAGCGUGGGGAGCAAACAGGAUUAGAUACCCGCGUAGUCCCUGUCUCUUAUAC